rnacentral:rRNA from 1 species
UUGUCAGCAGCCGCGGUAAUACGGAGGGUGCGAGCGUUAUUCGGAAUUACUGGGCGUAAAGCGCGUGCAGGCGGAAGGAGCAGUCUGAUGUGAAAGCCCGGGGCUUAACCCCGGAAGAGCAUUGGAAACCAUCCUUCUUGAGUGCUGGAGAGGAAGGGGGAAUUCCCGGUGUAGAGGUGAAAUUCGUAGAGAUCGGGAGGAAUACCAGUGGCGAAGGCGCCCUUCUGGACAGUCAAACUGACGCUGAGACGCGAAAGCGUGGGGAGCAAACAGGAUUAGAAACCCCUGUAGUCC